rnacentral:rRNA from 1 species
GAUGAACGCUGGCGGCGUGCCUAAUACAUGCAAGUCGAGCGAACGGACGAGAAGCUUGCUUCUCUGAUGUUAGCGGCGGACGGGUGAGUAACACGUGGAUAACCUACCAUAAGACUGGGAUAACUUCGGGAAACCGUAGCUAAUACCGGAUGAUAUUUUGAACCGCAUGGUUCAAAAGUGAAAGACGGUCUUGCUGUCACUUAUAGAUGGAUCCGCGCUGCAUUAGCUAGUUGGUAAGGUAACGGCUUACCAAGGCAACGAUGCAUAGCCGACCUGAGAGGGUGAUCGGCCACACUGGAACUGAGACACGGUCCAGACUCCUACGGGAGGCAGCAGUAGGGAAUCUUCCGCAAUGGGCGAAAGCCUGACGGAGCAACGCCGCGUGAGUGAUGAAGGUCUUCGGAUCGUAAAACUCUGUUAUUAGGGAAGAACAUAUGUGUAAGUAACUGUGCACAUCUUGACGGUACCUAAUCAGAAAGCCACGGCUAACUACGUG